ensembl:lncRNA
GAAGUGCGCUGUCAGGCGGGGCGAUGGAGAAGGGCCGAAGCCCCCUCAGGCCCAGCUAAAGCAGACGGCUCGCACUGCGACCCGAAGCAUUGACCUAGGCUCCUUCUGAGGACUGGCAGUCUGGAGACCUCGCAGAGGCUGCCAAACCUUUUGUGGAUGGAGCUCAAGUGAACUGUUAGUCUAACAAGGUAACCCAGGAAGGAGAGAGGGAUCUGCUCACAGACACUGACUAAGCAUGCAUGAGAAGGAGGGCAGAACAGCUGAGGAGCAUUCUGGGGUCUCCUGCCAGGUGAGCAGUGACCACAGCCUGGCCUUCCCUUCCCUUGACUGCCAUUCUUGGACCUUCCUGAAACCCUGCAAGGACUGGGAACUCUUACGGUGGCCCUGCCCAGAUCUACCUCAGAGCCACCCUCACCAGGUGUCCUGUGUGAGUUACUGGCAUUCCCACAACUUUGAGAGAGCAGCCAGGGCUGCUUUAGUGUAAAUCUCUUCACAAAUCAAGUGCGAAAGCAGAGUUCUGGGAGAUCCUGUUAGUGGAAGAAACAAGGUGCCUGGCCUGCCCCCUGGUGGAGUGACACAUGAGAAACUGGCCUGGUGGCUGCUUCUGGGCCCUGUGAUAGGAGGGACACACUUCCCUGUCCUGGUUCUCCUGCAGUUGAUCGGGGUUAUUUUCCAUGCUGCGUAUUACCUUUAAAAAGAAACCUUCAGGUCAGGUGUGGUGGCUGGCACCUGUAAUCUCAGCUCAUUGUUUAUGGUGCCAACCUGGAUCUUUGGAGAGGCCAAGGAGUAGGUGACUUGGAACCCUGAUGGUCAGUGUGGGGGGCAGGGAAAGCUUAUACAGUCCUCGUGUGUUUACAGAAGCUUGCUGCAUUCCUGAGAGUGAAGUUAGUUUAGUGCAUGGGGCAAACGUCCAGUGGGAAGUGAGCCUUGUGACCCUAAUACGGCCCGAAUCUGCUCCCUAAAGAGAGAGACUUGGUAAAUUAUCUUUACCAGGUGUUACCGAAGCCUGUCAGUACUCCCCACCAGUAAGCCUUGUGUCCGCAUUUUACAGCGUGGGUCAGGGCUGGGGCCCUAGUGGCAGCAGUUGCUGAGAUCAGCGGGCUCAGUAGCAGGAACACAAGUACCCCCUUGCGAUGUCUGGAGGACACCCGCUCCACCGUCUGAAGAGGCCGCUGAGCGCCCGCAAUUACCGAGGCAUCAGGUGGGACCGCAAGGCCAUCAACCUGUAGGUGAAGCUCCAGGCGCUGUGGCGCUUUGAAGCCGGAGAAAAGCUCAGUAGAAUCGGGAAGGCGCUGGGGCUGUCCACCUCCACCUUGGCCACCAUUCGUGACAAGGAAAAGAUCUGGGCGAGUUCCCAGGCGGCCACAUUGCAGGCGGCCACCAAGUUGAGGCGUAGCCUCAGCCUGAUGAUAGACAACGUGGAGCAGCUGCUGAGUGUGUGGAUGGAGGACCAGAGCCAGCCUAACGUGCAGUUCAGUGUGGUGCUCAGUCAGGAGAAAGUCCAUGGCCCAUUCAAGAACCUCAAGCAGGGCCAGGCGCGGUGGCUCAAGCCUGUAAUCCCAGCACUUUGGGAGGCUGAGGCGGGCAGAUCACCAGGUCAGGAGAUCGAGACCAUCCUGGCUAACACGGUGAAACCCCGUCUCUACUAAAAAUACAAAAAACUAGCCAGGCGAGGUGGCGGCGCCUGUAGUCCCAGCUACUCGGGAGGCUGUGGCGGGAGAAUGGUGUAAACCCGGGAGGCAGAGCUUGCAGUGAGCUGAGAUCCGGCUACUGCACUCCAGCCUGGGUGACAGAGCGAGACUCCAUCUCGAAAAAAAAAAAAA